rnacentral:rRNA from 1 species
UACGUAGGCAGCGAGCGUUGUUCGGAGUUACUGGGCGUAAAGGGUGUGUAGGCGGUUGUUAAGUUUGGUGUGAAAUCUCCCGGCUCAACUGGGAGGGUGCGCCGAAUACUGAAUGACUCGAGUGCGGGAGAGGAAAGUGGAAUUCCUGGUGUAGCGGUGAAAUGCGUAGAUAUCAGGAGGAACACCGGUGGUGUAGACGGCUUUCUGGACCGUAACUGACGCUGAGACACGAAAGCGUGGGUAGCAAACAGG